rnacentral:tRNA from 1 species
GCCGAGGUGGCGGAACUGGCAGACGCGCUAGGUUCAGGACUUAGUGGGCUUACGCCCAUCGGGGUUCGACUCCCCGCCUCGGCACCA